UUUAUUUAUAUUCUCCAGAGCUAAUAGUUACUUUUAGAGAAUUCUUUUAAUAGUAGCUAUUAUUAGCAAAGGGAAAAAAUUGAAAAUUAGGGGUAUUUUUUUCUGAGAAUUUCUACGUAAAAUAUGUACGAAUUAACUUAGGUGAAACCCUGACUGAAAACACAGAGGGCGUUUUUAUGCCUUCUUUAGUUCUUUUCAUUCAGUGAGGAGUCGUUUUCAUAUUGCUUUGGGGAUGAAAGAGAGAAAGAGAUGGAGUGAGAGGGUGGAGAAGGGAGGAGUGAUCAGUGGGUGUAAAGCGACUGAAAAGCGGCCAGUUGACUAGCUUAUCUUUCUGGGUAUUUAGAAUGGAGUAGAAGCAGUCACGCCCACAUUUCACUCACAUCAGGAUCACUCAGAUUGCUUCAAAAACCCGAGGCUCCUGCAGCGAAGCAGCCUUGCACACCAGGCAGGACCCCCUGCCCAGGCGAGGAUGGUUCGGGUGGCAGCUACCCAGAUUUACCAUCAUCUCAUCUAAAGAGCUGGAAGGAGGCGUGAACCACUCUCCAGACAUUUUCCACAGAAGGGAACUUCCAGGGCCAGCUUGCAUUGCUCCAGCUAUGAGCUACAUGGGCCAACAACGGCAUCAAAGACUAGCUUCUAGGAGAGCUCACAGAAACCCACAUGAAAUGGCCGUGGGAACUCAGCGCCUCCCAUGGAGCCCGGGACGGAUGCGUGUGGAUGAAAACAUCUGUAUUUGCGGUGGAUGGGAAGGAGAUCUCUGGUAUAUUUAGAAUUUAUCCUGGUGUGUGAUGAGGCUUCAGCCACGAAUUUGACACUUACUCCUUGGAAGUAAAGCUAUGGCAAACACAGACAGCAUAUUAAAAACAGAGACAUCACUUUGCCAACAACAUUCUGUAUAGCUAAGGCUAUAGUUUUAGAUGUGAGAGUUGGACCGCAAAGAACACUGAGUACUGAAGAACCUAUGCUUUCAAAUUGUGGUGCUUGAGAAGACUUGAGAGUCCCUUGGACUGCAAGGAGAUCAAACCAGUCAAUCCUAAAGGAAAUUAACCCUGAAUAUUCAUUGGAGGGACUGAUGCUGAAGCUGAAACUCCAAUACUUUGGUCACCUGAUGUGAAGACUCACUUGAAAAUAGCCAAUGAGUUAUUGGAAACUGACUCAUUGGAAAAUAACCUGGUACUGGGAAAGAUUGAAGGCAAAAGGAGAAGGGCAUGACAGAGGAUGUGAUGGUUAUCUAGCAGCACCAACUCAACAGAAAUGAGUCUGAGCAAACUCUGGGAGAUGGUGAAGGACAGGGACGCCUGGUGCGCUGCAGUCCAGGGCGUCUCAAGCAGUUGGAUAGGACUUAGCUACUGAUCAACAACAACACCAUGAAACAAACUGACCCAAUAGAAUCUUUUUCAAUCUGGUGGUUUAUCCCACUAGUGUAACGCCAGUUCUUAAAAAGCUCAAUUUUUCCUACCAAUUUAAAAUGGUAACUUUACCAUAUAAUUCAUUUUGCC
rnacentral:lncRNA from 1 species